UACAGAGGGGGCAAGCGUUGUUCGGAAUUACUGGGCGUAAAGGGCGCGUAGGCGGCCUGUUAAGUCGAACGUGAAAUCCCUGGGCUCAACCCUGGAACUGCCUUCAAAACUGCUGGUCUUGAGGUCGUGAGAGGUGAGUGGAAUUCCGAGUGUAGCGGUGAAAUGCGUAGAGAUCGGGAGGAACAUCAGUGGCGAAGGCGGCCCUCUGGACCAGUACUGACGCUGAGGCACGAAAGCGUGGGGAGCAAACAGG
rnacentral:rRNA from 1 species